ACUCCUACGGGAGGCAGCAGUGGGGAAUAUUGCACAAUGGGCGAAAGCCUGAUGCAGCAAUGCCGCGUGUGUGAAGAAGGCCUGCGGGUUGUAAAGCACUUUUAUCGGGAAAGAAAACCAGGGCUAAUACCCUUGGUCUUGACGGUACCCGUUGAAUAAGCACCGGCUAACUCCGUGCCAGCAGCCGCGGUAAUACGGAGGGUGCAAGCGUUAAUCGGAAUUACUGGGCGUAAAGCGAGUGUAGGCGGCGACGU
rnacentral:rRNA from 1 species